UACAGAGGUCUCAAGCGUUGUUCGGAUUCAUUGGGCGUAAAGGGUGCGUAGGCGGAUUGCUAAGUCAGGGGUGAAAUCCUGGAGCUCAACUCCAGAACUGCCUUUGAUACUGGCGACCUUGAGUCCGGGAGAGGUGAGUGGAACUGCGAGUGUAGAGGUGAAAUUCGUAGAUAUUCGCAAGAACACCAGUGGCGAAGGCGGCUCACUGGCCCGGUACUGACGCUGAGGUGCGAAAGCGUGGGGAGCAAACAGG
rnacentral:rRNA from 1 species